AGAGAUAUAUACUUAAUAACACUAGAGGGCGUACUCGCUCAAAUUGCUGUGUGGACCUGGAGCUGUGGCCGCCAUUACUAAGGAGGGCAGAAAAACGAACGACCCAACAAGAUACUGUGCACAACUUACGUGGAAAAAAUUGGAGAAGCCAGGUUCGUGCGUUGCAUUUGGAUGUUCGAACCGAAGAAAGAAAGGGAACUGCAUAAUAUUUCACAAGAAUACACCCAAGAGAGGAAAGGAUGUUACACACCACAUCUCAUUCUUAGAGCUGUGCCUACUGUCUUUCCUGGACAUCCUCCCUAUAAACAGACCCAUGGCUCAAGACUCCCAGCAAAACCAUGUACAACAUCCAAAAGUGUUCCCGUGCCUCCAAAGAAACCCUAUGACAUUACAAAAGAACAUGACUAUUCUUUUUCUGUCUGAGUUGAUUAGAAACUGAAUAUAACCAGACAGCAAGUGCAAGAUGCCAAGAAACAGCUUAAAGUGGUGAAACAAGGUAAACAGGAGAGAUGGAAAAACCAGGACUCUCUUGCAGGAAGUCCACAAAAGCAAGCUCAUUAGCCAGGAUCAGCUUGACCUACUUCAACACAACUUUGGAGAGAACGCAUUUUCAAGAAAAACAAAACAAAACAUAGAACUUCAUUCGUACAAACUACAAAGACAGAUCGGUCUUUUAUAUUUUGCCUCUUGUCUGCAUAGCUUAUCCACUGGAUGAUUGACUGUGAAGCCGUUUAAAACUGGAGAGAGCUUUCAAUAAUCUUU
rnacentral:lncRNA from 1 species